rnacentral:rRNA from 1 species
CCUACGGGAGGCAGCAGUGGGGAAUUUUGGACAAUGGGCGMAAGCCUGAUCCAGCCAUUCCGCGUGAGUGAAGAAGGCCUUCGGGUUGUAAAGCUCUUUCGCAAGGAAAGAAAACUUAUCCAUUAAUACUGGGUGAGGUUGACGGUACCUUGAUAAGAAGCACCGNAA